rnacentral:lncRNA from 1 species
AUGUGUUUGCUUUGCUCUUUGAGGAUUGAUUGUUGUUGUGCUUAUGCUGGAGAUCGGAAGGUUGUCUCUUUUAUUGUGCUUGUUAUUUUGUUGCGGACAUCUUAUAGAUUUGAUGGUAGCUUCCUCUGUUUUUCUCCAAUAAGGUUUGGUCUCUGUGACUUCCGCGUAGAAAAGAAUUUACUUGUAAUUUGGAUCUGAAGGUUGUGGUUUUGUUUAUACGGAUUAGAUUUGCAAUUAGAUUAAGAAGAUAACAUAUUGCAUUGUUUGAUAGUUGUUAUUUGUUGAAGGUUGUCGUUUCACUAUUUCUUGUCUUUGCAAUUGAACUAUAAAGGUAACAUACAGAUUUGUUUGAUUGUUUGUAUUGGUUCGUGGGGUCUUAUGUCAUUAGAGGGAUGGUUGUUGGUUUGUUUGUUUUUCAUGGUGGAGUAGCGUUUGUGUUUGUGAGACGCCUUUCCAUGCCUCUGGUAUGUUUUAGUGUUUGGUUCCUCUUCUUAUGUUUGAUUUCGUUUGUCUCAGUUUGAUUUGGCUUUGUUGGUUUGGUUCCAUUAAUUUGGAGUUUUGUUUGGUGAGUUAAAAUAUUGCUCACAAUUUGUUUGUUUGGUGGGUCAAAUGCUCAUAAUUUGGUUGUUUGGUGAGUGAGUUCUCACAAUUUGGGUUCUUCUGAUUGAUUUUCUAUCUAUUGGUCUCUUCUGAUUGAUUGCUUCUCCCCUUUUGAUUCUUCUUUGUUUGAUUGGUAUUCUGAAUUCUCCCUUAUUGCUUCUUCUGUUCAUUUGGUUCUCUCUCUAUUUGAUUGUCUCUCUCUAUUCAUUCUUCUGAUUGAUUGCAUUUAUCUCUCUAUUGUUUCUUCUAAUUGAUUGCAUUGCACUUCUCUCUGUCAAUUCUUCUGUUUGAUUGCUUCUCUCUAAUGAUUUCUUCCGUGUGAUUGUUUCUUUCUAAUGAUUUCGCUUCUCAUUGAUGAUGGUUUUGUCUGGAUUCUAUCUGAUUGCUUCUCCCUGUUGAUUUUCUUAUGUCUGAUUGCUUCUCUCUCUGAUGAAUUCUCUUAUGUUGGAUUGCUCCCCUCUGUCUGUUCUACUAUUUUGGUUGUUUCUCUUUCUAUUGACUGAUUCUUCUAUUUGGUGAUUUAGUUCACUUUGGAUUGGAACAAUUUGGUUUGGUAAAGUUUGGAUUUGGUUAGCUUGGACUGAAUUGGAUAAAAUGGAUGUNNNNNNNNNNNNNNNNNNNNNNNNNAGGUUUAUAGUCCAUUAGGUUUUGCUAUAUAAUCUCUUGUAACUCUGUUUUAUCAAGUAAUGCAAUUCUAAUUUUAUGUAACCCUAGUUGCCUCCUUUGUUAUUCU